GAAACUCGCUGCUGCAUUCAAGGAACCUGAGAAAUAAAUUAGUUUCAGGGAUUGUGAUUGUUGAGGCUGCGUGAGCGAUUUGUUGUUUCUGACGGCUGAAAGACGCUCAGCGUGACGCACCGACGGAAACAAAGAGCUUCUCCAUCAGGCACAAAACGCAGAGUCAGCGCUCAGCGAGCCGCUAAGUGAUCCCACAAACUUCUUUAGGGAGCAGCGUCUUCCUGCACGCCUGGAACCAUGGAUCAAAAAUUUAAAGCAAUCUGUCCAGCGGUUCCUGAGCCUCGCCGCUGCCAGCCGAACAGAGGAACCGGCCAACCCGGCUGAAAACAUUCAGCAGGUAAAAUUCUUCUCUUUUCUGGUCCAAACAAAACAGGGAAGAAAGCUGCGUUGCUCGCGGGCAGAUUGACCAGCUUGGACAACGGAUGAGCAGCCAGCUGGAGGAAGAGAGAGGAAGUCUUCCCUGCAGCCACGGCGCCUCAGGUUUCGGUCCUGAUCCAGAUUAAUUGGCCAGACGGGUCAAAGUGACUGACCAGCGCUGGGAAGCAGCAGCAGCGCCGGCCUCAUUUUCCAUUCCGCUACGUUCAUGCAUCAAGAGGCUUUUCAUGGCUGCUACGUGUACGUAGCUAAACUGAGCAAAUGUGAAGGUCAAUAAAAUGAGUAAAAAUCC